GGGCAGUCGCACGAGCGCACCCUUAUCCUUAGUUGCCAUCAAGUAAAGCUGGGCACUCUAAGGAGACUGCCGGUGAUAAAUGGGAGGAAGGUGGGGAUGACGUCAAAUCAUCAUGCCCUUUAUGUCCUGGGCUACACACGUGCUACAAUGGUCGGUACAACGGGAAGCUAACACGCGAUGUGGAGCAAAUCCCAAAAACCCGUUCCCAGUUCGGAUUGCAGGCUGCAACUCGCCUGCUUGAACUCGGAUUCGCUAGUAAUCGCGAAUCACAACGCCGCGGUGAAUACG
rnacentral:rRNA from 1 species